GUUGCGGUUAAAAAGCUCGUAGUUGGAUCUCGGCAAGUAGAGGGCGGUAUGCUUCGUAGCAUUACUGCCCUAUUACUUGUAGUUUUGCCAGAGGUUCCUGGGUGCUCUUAAUCGAGUGUCUAGGGAUGCUGGCAGGUUUACUUUGAAAAAAUUAGAGUGCUCAAAGCAGGCUAUUACGCUUGAAUAUUCGUGCAUGGAAUAAUAGAAUAGGAAGUUGUUUCUAUUUUGUUGGUUUUCGGAAAUCGACUUAAUGAUUAAUAGGGACAGUCGGGGGCAUUUGUAUUCAAACGACAGAGGUGAAAUUCUUGGACCGUUUGAAGACAAACUACUGCGAAAGCAUUUGCCAAGAAUGUUUUCAUUAAUCAAGAACGAAAGUUAGAGGUUCGAAGGCGAUUAGAUACCGCCCUAGUUCUAACCAUAAACGAUGCCAGCUAGCGAUCUGAGGACGUUUUUUUUGUAGACUCCUCAGGAAGCUUCCGGGAAACCAAAGCGUGUGGGUUCCGGGGGAAGUAUGGUUGCAAAGCUGAAACUUAAAGGAAUUGACGGAAGGGCACCACCAGGAGUGGAGCCUGCGGCUUAAUUUGACUCAACACGGGAAAUCUCACCAGGCCCGGACACUGGAAGGAUUGACA
rnacentral:rRNA from 1 species